AGCUUUUCGAAUCCGUGCAGAGAUUUAUUCAGACACCAACCCAUUAGGGCUGACCAGAUUUCCAACACAAGUGAAGCU
rnacentral:pre_miRNA from 1 species